rnacentral:rRNA from 1 species
AAACAUGGCCUUUCGAUAAAAUAAAAGGUCCAACCUGCCCACUGCAAGUUGAAGGGCCGCGGUAAUUUGACCGUGCAAAGGUAGCAUAAUCAUUAGUCUCUUAAUUAGGGGCUAGUAUGAACGGUUAGACGAAAUAGGAGCUGUCUCACAGUAAGUUUUGAAUUUUACUUUUUAGUGAAAAGGCUAAAAUAUUGUUGGAGGACGAGAAGACCCUAUAGAUCUUAAUAUAAGGACCUUUACUGGUUUGGUCAAAGUACGAGUAAUGUUAAUUAUAUUUGAUUGGGGUGAUUAAGAAAUAAAUAAACUUUUUUAAACAAGACAUUUGUACAUGGUUUAGGGAUCCAUUUUUAUGAUUAUAAGAUUAAGUUACCUUAGGGAUAACAGCAUAAUCUUUCUGGAGAGUUCUAAUCGAGAGAAAGGAUUGUGACCUCGAUGUUGGAUUAGAAUGGGGUUUAGGCGCAGAAGUUUAAAUUACCAAGUCUGUUCGACUUUUAAAAUUCUACGUGAUCU